AUACUUAGCUGGCAGGAGAGAGACCGAGACCGCGAGCACGGAGGUGGUUUUCCCGGGGCGAGGCUUAGCCAUUGCUCUCCGGAUGUGCUGACCCCUGCGAUUUCCCCAAAUGUGGGAAACUUGACCGCACAAUUUGUGUUGUAGGGGACUGUGUUCGCGUUCUCCCCUG
rfam:Erinaceus europaeus unplaced genomic scaffold scaffold00134, whole genome shotgun sequence